UGCACAGUGGCAGAAACAAAUCCGUGAUGACAAGUGUUUGAAGGAGGGACUUGGACAUGCAGAUGAACUCCAUCCACAGGCAGCCUCACCAACUAGAGUAUAGCAAAGCCUCCAACAGAGUGGGAAUGAAAAGGACAGAAAGGAGGGGAGUCCUUCCUUCAGGCCAUUUGACCCCAGCUGGGCACCUUGGGUGUGCACUGCAGUGCCUGCACCAGAAGAAAACAGCAGAACACAAGGAGUGGCAGCAGGAAUAGGUGAAUACUUCGUCCCUGAGGCACUUUGCUUGGAGCUCACGAUCAUUGAACAUGGGAAUUCAAAGCUCUCUGUGCUGGUUGCCAGCACUGUCCUCCCUCAGUAUACAGAAGGGUUUGUUUUCAGUGAAAAAACAUCACUGUGAGUUUCUCAAAAUGUUAAUCUCUAAUUAAUAAACAUCGCCUCAUUUAAAUAGUAAAA